CUGGGAUAAGAGUGUAAAUAAAUGCACUGCUCUUUGCAUUUUCCCUCAGCAAAAGAUGGUGAAGCAAGCCAGGAAAGAAUUCAAAGUGUCAGCUUAUGUGCUCUCAAGAGACCCGUGGCGAAUACACUGGAGAGCAUUGCAGGGGAGAAAUAAUUCCCUGGCACCCGCCCCCCGCUUUCAUCAGGUAGGAAGGAUGGACUGCACCCAAGUUCCUGAGCACAGAAGGCAAUGCCAAUAUUCCAAAUCUGCAUUUCACGUCUACCGGAACCACCCACUCCAUUUGCUCAGGGAAUGUCAUGNAAAGAACUAUCGAGUUCACUGUUCACACUAGCAACUAUUUUGGGGCACUGCUUCAUCAGCUGGAGCAACUUGUUUUCAUAGAUGGCCCUUGUAGAAGCUGAAACAGGUAAAAGGCAAAAGGUUUCAGUAUUGGCUUGUCUUAUUUCUAGGUGUUCUAAAACUGAUAGGGAAACAUGAUUUUACUAAAGUUUUG
rnacentral:lncRNA from 1 species